UGUUCACCGUAUGUUUGCGAGUUCCUUUGGAAUAAAUUGUCAAUCAAUCCUGACAAUAAUUUCUUCAAUUGAAGGAUCGUAGUUAAAAUCAGGUUGGACCAAACUACUUCAAGACUGCGAAAAAAUGUGAAGUCUUUGGUGUUUGCUGUGAAGGUACAGGAAAACAGGUGUUUUACUUGGCGAAUGAGGGUGAAUCACCCAGGAGGUGCCAACACUGUUGUUAGCUAUGUGCAUUACUAGCUUACUCACUAUGGC